rnacentral:rRNA from 1 species
CGUAGGGUGCAAGCGUUAAUCGGAAUUACUGGGCGUAAAGCGUGCGCAGGCGGUUAUGCAAGACAGAGGUGAAAUCCCCGGGCUCAAUCUGGGAACUGCCUUUGUGACUGCAUAGCUAGAGUACGGUAGAGGGGGAUGGAAUUCCGCGUGUAGCAGUGAAAUGCGUAGAUAUGCGGAGGAACACCGAUGGCGAAGGCAAUCCCCUGGGCCUGUACUGACGCUCAUGCACGAAAGCGUGGGGAGCGAACGGGAUUAGAUACCCCGGUAGUCCUGGCCUUAAACGAUGGAUGCUUGGUGUCUGGAGUUUUAUAGUCUCCGGGUGCCGUAGCUAACGCGUUAAGCAUCCCGCCUGGGGAGUACGGUCGCAAGACUG